rnacentral:lncRNA from 1 species
AAAAUCUCGUAACUUCUAAGUGAACCAGGCAGUUUCCAAAACCUGCCUUUUAGCUAUUAAGCUAUAAAUAUUUGAAAAAAGUAUUUACAUUGACAAAUAACUAUGAAGUUUUUAGAACUUAUGAAGAUCAUGAUGAAGAAAAAACUAUUUGUAAUAUUAUCAAAUUGCUUAUUCCUUUCUGAAGUCAUUUAUUCAAUAUCAUUUAUUUGCAGAUAAUAGGUACCAGGCAUUGAGAAAUUCAGAAUAAAUAAGAAAAUGGAAUAAACAAAGGGUUAUAAAAAAAUCUAGGAUGGGUUAUUCAUUUUAAAAGAGAAUGGGGCUUAGGUGAAAAAAAGCAAAAAUAUACACAAGGACUUGAACAUUCUAACAUAAUGAGCAAGUCAUACCCUGCCAGAUGCACGAGAGUGGAUGACAGGAUGUGCUGGAAAGGAACAUGGGAAGUACCUAAAAUGAAAAGGACCUGAAAUGCAAUUCUAAAGAUUUCGUCUAAAAGAAAUGGCAAGUUGGCAGAUAAUUUUUAAAUUCAAGUGUAAAUAAUCUGAUAAGUAUUUUAGAAAGCUGACUGGAUGGUAUAAAGAGGGUGCAUUAGAGAAGGAAAAUAUGGGUGGCAGGGAGAUCUAUGAGGGUUUUGUGAUGGGUUGAAUGGUGUCCUCCCAGGAGAUAUGUUGAAGCCCUAUUUUUGGUACCUGUGAAUAUGACUUCAUUUGGAAAUAGGAUCUUUGCAGAUGAAAUCUAGUUAAGAUGGGUUCAUUAAGGUGGGCCCUAAUUCAAUAUGACUGUUUUCCUUAUAAAAAAAGGAAAAGACGGAGAAACGGGGAGAAGAAUGCCACAUAACAAUGAAGGUAGAGAAUGGGGUUACACAGCUACAGACCAGAGAACAUGAAGGACUGUCACCAACACCACUGCUAAGAGAAGGGCACAGAACAGGUUCUCCCGCAGAGCCUUUAGAGGAAGCAAGACCCUGUCAACAGCUUUUCUGAGUUCUAGCCUUCAGAACUGUGAGAGAAUAAAUUUCAGCUUAUGGUACUUUUUAUAUGACAGCCCAAGGAAACUAACACAAGUAUUGGUGGAACACUUCUUCAACAAAUAGCACUUGAAUUAAGGCAGUGGCAGUAAAAAUGGAGAGGAGGAGGUAUGUGGUAGACCAGGGAUAUAUUUGCUAAAGGACAAACGAAGUAAUGAGACUUAGAAACAGAACGAUGGAGCCACAAAGAAUGCCUGAAAUGGUAAUAGGAUACAUGCUGGAAUGUUGAUGGGCCCCAUUUCCACAAGCCUCCAAAUCUGCUUCUAGAUCCCAUUCAAGCAAGGGAGGAUUUGUUAAGAAGAAAGGCCCUUUGAGAGCACCAGUCCCUCCACCAGCCAGUCUAGUCCUAAGAGCUCUGAAGGCCAACCUUGGAGGUGGUUCAGGAGGGAAAAUGCAGGACCCAGGAUUUCAGUUGCCAAGCCAGAGAGCAGGGGACCCAGGAAAGAAUAUUGGCAUUCAUUUGAUUUUUCCAUCUUCUGAUAUAACCUUCAAAUGUUAAUAGUGUGUCGAAGAAUUUAUUGGAAAUGAGAAACAAGAAAACAGUGAGUCUAACCUAGUCAUUCUAGAAUUGGGAGGUAAUAGAAAAGAGAGAAAUGGGAAAGUUGCUCAAAUGCAAGUCCAGUGAAUCAGAGAGAAAAGGCUCAAAGCAGCAGAACAAAGCUUCAAUAAAGAGAUAUUGUGACUUGGAGAGAUGGCCUUUUGUCCUUUGUUCUAUUACCAGUCAGAGGAUGGGGAGCACACCCGAGCCUGAGACAACAGCUCUGCUAAGUGCCCUUGAGAGGGCACGGUGGGGUCAGCACCAAAGUCAGACCACUAAAGAGAAAAAGAGAGAAAGACAGGAUUGCAGAGGAGAAAUGAGAAUGGCAGAAAAAAUAAUUUUUUAAGCCAAAAGGAAUCAGAGAAGAGCAGAAGUGCCUCUAGGAUAAAGCGUAGCAGGCAGUUAGGGAAAAAGGGCUGUUAACUACCUUGAAGCUCUGACUACAUUAGAAAGCCUCGCAAGACAGUCGUUGCUUGCACGGGCAGGUAGAGAACUUUUCCUGUCCAUUGUUCUUCUGAAUUAUAAAUCACUGACCUCUUUAUGAUUUCUAAAGGGAAAAUGACUUCAAGCUUCUUAGAGUUCCCCUAAGGCAUUCUCUAUAUUCAAUAUAAUAUGGGAAGCCCUGGGUUUGUCUUUGUAUGUUUCAUCUGCAGUGACCUGAAAUCUUCAUAACCCUCUUCCUUUCUCCACUUAUCAACUAAGGGGUGGUUGGCAAUAAGGAUGGGUGGGAGAGAAAAAAAAACAGAAUUUGAGGAGGAGAGCAUUUAAACCAUCAGACUGUGUGUUCUGUGACAUCAAAGACUGGCAACAUUCUAAAGGAAAAGCAGCUGUGAAGUCAUAAUUAUGUUCACUUCCCACUGGCAACUGGCAAGCCCUUUAUUUUUGUGCAUUCGGAACUCACCAAGAAUAAAUAAAGUCCAUUCCCUCCUUGAGGGGCUAUUCUGCCAUUCCAUCUAGGAUUUAAAAGUUUGCCAAUUCCUAAAACAUCUAUUGUUAUCAAUAGUCUUGUGUCUUUCACAAAGCGGACUUUACAAAAUAAGUUAACAGGCCAUGAGAGGAACAGUCACACAUACCAAGAAAGGUACAUACGGAGAUAAUUCCAAUCAAAGUGAGCACAGCCUACGCAUAAACAGGAUCCCUGAAAUUUGGACAUGAUAGUAUGGGAGGAUUCAUGAGAAAAUGUGUGUGGAAUGAUUUGAACUUCUUGAAGAAUACAUACUCAGGAAUACUGCUAUUUGUGAUGAGAUAGUGUCAGAUGCAUAAAUUUGGGUUCUUUGAAUUACUGGCAUACAGGAAAACAGCAAAUCUAGGUCAACAGAGACCUUUUUCUCAGACUGCCUUUACUAUGAAUAAAAGACAAAGGAACUUUUCUAACUUUCUCAGAAAAGUGUCAACUUCUAUAAUUAUUUCAAUAAAUAAUCUUCCUCCAGGAGGAUAUAAUUUUAAGGUGUGUGCAGUGUCAUUUUAAAGACAGGUUUGUAGGUCUCACUUUCUUUUAUUUCCAAGUUAUCCCCUGGCAACAAGGGCUGUUUAUGUGGAGUAUUAAACAAGCUUCAGGACUGUGCACAGAACUCACUCCUAUUAUAUCUUAUUUUAAUCUGAUAUUACCAAACUUCCCAUGAACUAAAAAAAAAAUACCCAUAAAUUUUAAGUCCAGUGAGAUUUCUGUUUUCUCUAAAAAUUAGAGAGCUGAACUGUGUUUUGUGUGAGAUCAUCCAACAGUUUUUUAAAAAAAUCUUACUUCAGAAUCACAUUGAAAUCAUUAUGUCUUCUGGAAACCAGCUGAUAGCCAAAACAUUUAUUUAAAUUGUUUAUAAAAUGGGUGGGUGGUAUUUCAUAAUAGUUAUUGGUUUACUAUGCAUGACCUGUUGAUCUACCUGUUGAAACCAUUAUUUUAAAAUGUACUUCCCCCAAAAAUGCUACUUCUGUAUAUUUGUUUUUAUCAAAUAUAAAUUUACCUAGCUCUUUUAAGACACAGAUCUCACCCACUGAAUUAUGACUAACAUGAAUUUUGGAAAUUGUCCUAUUUUGAUAUGUCAGGAGAGAACGUUUUACUAGCAGGUUUCAUUAGCCAAGGUGGACCAGUGGGUAUUUUCUGACAUUGCAAAAGCAGCUUCAAAGUGCCACUUUCUUUUCCAGGAUGGGUCAAAUAAAACAACUCUACUCCAUUCUGUAAGAGAUUCAGGCACAGAAAGGAGAAGAUACUGGGCUGCUGACACAUUUUCUAUUCAUAAAUGCUUCUGUUUAUAGUAGAAAAUAUGACAUUCACCAUGAGCUGACCAGCCAUCAGUUCUGACAUUUAUCAGCAUCACUUUAGAAACCCAUGUGGAAAGGCAGAAAAGCAGAAGGGAACAGAAACUCACAUGCCACUUGCAGCAGAAUGCUUGUGCCAUCCUGACUCCCCCUCUCUGAAAGCCUGACUGUGCACCAUCCUCCUUGAUAACAACUACCACCCACUGAGCAAGCCUGCGGUAGGUUAUGUAGGUUCUAGGGGAAGGGGAUACAAAGUUAUGUUGGACACUUGGAAAUGCUUAGAAUCCAGUCGGGGAGCCAGCACAGGAAACAGUAACAUCUGAAUGCAUAGCCAGCUACUGGCCCUCUACAUGUAUAGCCAGCUAAUAAUGUGUGUGUGUGCAUGCACACACACAUGACUAGAAGAGGCAUUGUGCCUGGCAGUGAAAUGACAGAGGAAAGGCAUUUAUUGUAUGAGGGAAAAAAAAGUAGGGAAGUGGUAUCUUAAGAGCAAAACAUACAGUCUAUUCCUUCCACUCCAAAUAAUUGAAGGCUUCUGAAUGUGCAUUCCAAAUUUUGAGAUUAAAUGAAUAAGGCCAACCUGCUGCUGAUGGCCACAGUCAGAAAGGAGGGAAGAGACCACCCAACCCAGGACAGGAAGUGGAGCAGACUUCAUCUGGAACUUGGGAAUGCCUGCCUCCAUGAAAAAAAGUGUAAGUGAGAUUUCCCCCUUUUUGAUCCAUCUUCAACCACUUGAUAAAUUUUCACAAAAUCAGUAAUUUCCCAAAGUGGUUGUGAUGGAGCAGGGUAGCUUCCUAUUUGCAAGCAUCGGGUUAAGUAUCUAUGUUUUAAAAGAAUUAAACAUGUUAAUAUAAUACUGUGCCAAUAGUGCUUACAAAACAUGUGUGUGGGAGACACACUGCUGAGUUUCAGGAAAUAAAUAUCCCUUAACACAACACAUUGUAAUCAAAGAAGCAUAUUCACAAAACGUUAAAACUUUUUGCCAACUUCAUGUCAGCAAGCCCAGAGGGAGAGAACACGUAUGCUCUUUUUCAAUAGAGUAUCACAUUAUAGACCCAUUCAAUAAGGUCUGUAUGAGUUCAUUUGUUUCCAGAUAAAGAUUUCUGUGUGUGGGGAGACCUAACAACAACAACAAAAAAAGGCUUCGUGGAGAACGGACAAAUUAGUUGGUGUUUUAAAAGACAGAAGUAUGCAGACAGUGAAAGAGGAAUUUGGAGGAAAUGUGUUGGGAAGGGUACCAGUAAAUCUUAAACUGAGGGAAGAGCUCAGGCGAAACCUCCAGUGAUCUUCACAACGCUCAGGAGAAUGCUUAUACAUGAUUUGCACACAAAAUAUUGAAUUUGAAAAAAUCUUAUAUUGAAUUCCCAAGCCACUUGUAGAAUGCAAUGUGGCACACUAAUGUGGUAGAAGGGACAUAAAACAAACAAACAAACUCCCUACACAAAUACCCAUGGGAAAGGAAGAACAGCCUCACAGAACUUCAAAAAGAGAAAACAAAGAAAAAAAAAUCUCAUUUUCCAAUGUAUGCAAACAUGUAUUUUCUGAGCAAAGACAGGAUUACAAGUAGGCAGAAUAUAAGAUUUGAAAAGCAAAAGGAAAGGUUACAUCUCCCCACCACCUACCACUCACAAACCAGUUCAUCCACAGGCAAGCUGAUACUGAGACUCUACAACUACAUAUUUAUACUUUUGACUUAAAUGUGGCCUUCUCUUGAACAGCAAAUAAUCCCGAGAUUUACAAAUUAAGCCACAUGAGGCAUUUACACAUUAAAGAAAUGAAUUUUUAAGUCUUUCUUAAGAUAGAGAUUUUUGGGUUUGGAAGACAGAGAAAGAAUGAGAGUACUUAUGGGAAGAUGGCAUGGGUUAGGGGUUAGUAGCUUAAUUCAUAGAUUAAAAGGAAGACCUUUAUAGGAAUCUGGUUGUAUAGCUAGGAGCCAAACAGCCCCUUCCUGAUCAAAAAUGUUUUCAUCUAGUCUUUUACAAUAGAAAUUUAUUUAUCUUGUUUUAAAGUAUUCUUUAUGUCAUGCAUGUAAAUACCAAUAAGGUAUUUAAAUAUUCCCAUAUUGACAAGUAUCACUUU